AACGAACGCUGGCGGCAUGCCUAACACAUGCAAGUCGAACGAGACCUUCGGGUCUAGUGGCGCACGGGUGCGUAACGCGUGGGAACCUGCCCUUAGGUUCGGAAUAACUCCCCGAAAGGGGUGCUAAUACCGGAUAAUGUCUUCGGACCAAAGAUUUAUCGCCUUUGGAUGGGCCCGCGUUGGAUUAGCUAGUUGGUAGGGUAAAAGCCUACCAAGGCGACGAUCCAUAGCUGGUCUGGGAGGAUGAUCAGCCACACUGGGACUGAGACACGGCCCAGACUCCUACGGGAGGCAGCAGUGGGGAAUAUUGGACAAUGGGCGAAAGCCUGAUCCAGCAAUGCCGCGUGAGUGAUGAAGGCCUUGGGGUUGUAAAGCUCUUUUACCCGGGAUGAUAAUGACAGUACCGGGAGAAUAAGCUCCGGCUAACUCCGUG
rnacentral:rRNA from 1 species